rnacentral:rRNA from 1 species
UACGUAGGUGGCGAGCGUUAUCCGGAUUUAUUGGGCGUAAAGAGGGCGCAGGCGGCUUUUCAAGUCGAAUGUAAAAUCUCCCGGCUCAACUGGGAGGGCGCAUGCGAUACUGUUAAGCUAGAGGGCAACAGGAGGAGGUAGAAUUCCCGGUGUAGUGGUGAAAUGCGUAGAUAUCGGGAGGAAUACCAGUGGCGAAGGCGACCUCCUAGGUUGUUUCUGACGCUUCUGCCCGAAGGCGUGGGGAGCAAACAGG